rnacentral:ncRNA from 1 species
UACCUGGUUGACCCUGCCAGUAGUCAUAUGCUUGUCUCAAAGAUUAAGCCAUGCAUGUCUAAGUAUAAAUCGUUUAUACAGGUGAAACUGCGAAUGGCUCAUUAAAUCAGUUAUAAUUUAUUUGAUAGUACCUUACUACUUGGAUAACCGUGGUAAUUCUAGAGCUAAUACAUGCUAAAACCUCCGACUUCUGGAAGGGGGUGUAUUUAUUAGAUAAAAAACCAAUAUCGGGCAACCGAUUCCUUUGGUGAUUCAUAAUAACUUUUCGAAUCGUAUGACUUUACGUCGACGAUGAAUCAUUCAAAUUUCUGCCCUAUCAACUUUCGAUGGU